rnacentral:rRNA from 1 species
UCUACGGGAGGCAGCAGUGAGGAAUAUUGCGCAAUGGGCGACAGCCUGACGCAGCGACGCCGCGUGGGGGAUGAAGGUCUUCGGAUUGUAAACCCCUUUCGGGAGGGAAGAUGGGACGGGCAACCGUUCGGACGGUACCUCCAGAAGCAGCCACGGCUAACUUCGUGCCAGCAGCCGCGGUAAUA